AGGUUUGGUCCUAGCCUUAUAAUUAGUUAGAGGUAAAAUUACACAUGCAAAUAUCCAUACGCCAGUGUCAACUCCCAACCAAAUUUUAUAUAAUUUCAAGGAGAGGGCAUCAAGUACAUACUUAUAUAGCUAAAGACGUCUUGCCUAGCCACGCCCCCACGGGACUCAGCAGUGAUAAAAAUUAAGCAAUGAACGAAAGUUUGACUAAGUUAUACCUCUCAAGGGUUGGUAAAUUUCGUGCCAGCCACCGCGGUCAUACGAUUAACCCAAAUUAAUUACGCUCGGCGUAAAACGUGCCUACAAUCAUAGAUAUUAAUAGGAUUUAAAAUCAACCAAUAUGUGAAAAUUAAUUGUUGUAAUUAAAAUCACUGACGAAAGUAAUCCUAAUUAUUUAAUGCACGAUAACUAAGAUACAAACUGGGAUUAGAUACCCCACUAUGCUUAGUCUUAAACUUUAAUAAUUUUCAAAACAAAAUUAUUUGCCAGAGAACUACUAGCCACCGCUUAAAACUCAAAGGACUUGGCGGUACUUUAUAUCCACCUAGAGGAGCCUGUUCUAUAAUCGAUACACCCCGAUACACCUCACCACCCCUUGCUAAUUCAGCCUAUAUACCGCCAUCUUCAGCAAACCUUAAAAAAGAACAGAAGUAAGCAAGAGUAUACUCAUAAAAACGUUAGGUCAAGGUGUAGCCAAUGGAGUGGGAAGAAAUGGGCUACAUUUUCUUUAUUAAGAACACUUACGAAACUCUCCAUGAAAUUGUAGAGCAAAGGAGGAUUUAGUAGUAAAUUAAGAAUAGAGUGCUUAAUUGAAUAGAGCAAUGAAGUACGCACACACCGCCCGUCACCCUCUUCAAACUAAAUAAAUAGAUAAUUUUAUAUAAAUAACACUAAUAGGUUUAUUAGAAGAGGUAAGUCGUAACAUGGUAAGCAUACUGGAAAGUGUGCUUGGAAUAAC
rnacentral:ncRNA from 1 species